rfam:Aedes albopictus isolate Foshan contig15461, whole genome shotgun sequence.
UGUCCUGUGGCUUAGUUGGUUAAAGCGCCGGUCUAGCGAAUAAGAAGUUAUGGGUUCAAACCCCACCAGAACGC